UGUACGGUACUCGCUAUUCGGCAGACAUUGGAUUGAUUUCGCCCGUCUUUUUCGAAUUUUUUGUAUUUUUCUAGAAACAUAUUGCUUAUCUGCAGUUACCAUUUCAUGUCUAAGAAUUUAAGUUAUCAUUACUUCCGUCUAUCAAUUUAUAAAGCAUCCGCAACCGUUUCUCUCAGUGUUUUUGCUAUUGAUGUUACAGUGGUAAUAUGAACUAUUGGUUGUUCGUGACACGCGGCCAAGAGCGAUCCGAAAGUUCUCUGUCGUUCAUUGACGACAUACAAAGACGCCGUGAAAAUACAAUGAGAACUGGAAUUACAUGAAUUUGGGUCAGAAGCAUAAAAGAUGAUGCUCCUGAUAAGAAUGCGUCAUUUAAGAAGGUAACCUAACCUAAUCUUUCGUCGCUAUUAACGACCUCUUCCUUGUAGUUUCUCUAUAGCCGGGGGCGCUGACGGAUGACGCAGAUUUAAUUACUGGGGCUCGUUCGCGUAGAACGUUAAUGUCUCGCGAUGGAUACGUACAUCAGUCGUCGGCCGAUGAUGAAUCAGUUAUAGAGGCGAAGCAGCGCGCGCGACUCUGUACGCCCACGCAGCACCGAGCUAAGUUUCUAUUUGGCUGCAUGUGGCUCGCACGCGACUCUCUCCGGCGCGGCGAUCGGGUCUCGACCGUCGCGCAACGUGCCGCGCGCCGCAAGCCUGUGUUCUAUCCUUAUGUUUCGCGUGCCUCCACAAUUUCCUUCGCGACUACGACGAGCUGUGGAUACGUCGUUUUUCGAUACGCGUAUUGCGCGUCUCGUUUAAUACCAGAGAGAAUUGAUACGUAGGGGACACGCGAGAGAGGUUGCCGGCUGUGUCGUUUAUCCUUCGUCUGGCCAGCCUGAAAGCAAGUCAAGGAAUUCGCUCCGGAGAGGCUGUUAUUUUCGAAUGUACUGUUCCACGUAGCUGCACGGAGAGUCUCUAAGAGUUACCCGAUGUUUUGAUUUUUAACUUGAGCGUAACGCCUAUGAAAGCCGAGAAUUGGAUUACGCAAAAGUCAGCAUAUUCCACAUUGUUGAAUCAAUGUCAUAUGAUAUAGCGUAGAAUAGAUUACUCAAAAUCAAGCGGAUUCGAAUGGUACAUCGCAUAAUGUAUAUGCAAUGAAAAUAAAGGAAAAUAAAGGAAAUUUAAGGAUUUUAAGUUAUGUUUCAACAGUAAACAGAAAUAUCUACUUUUUAUGAACAGUCACACACAAUUAAUAGGUACUCUUUUCUAUGACUAACUGCUGUCACAUAUGUGCGAAGAUAAAAGAAACAGAAUAUAAUACAUAAAAAGUAAAAGCCAACCAAUAGAGUGUAAAUAUAUACCAAGGAAUAAUUAAACAACUGAUAGGAGUUCGAAAAUAUGUCAACAUUUUUGCAAGCAUUAACAGUAAGUCUAUACCCACCACUGAUAUAGUUAUACAACUUUACCUACAUAGGUACUUAGUAAACGUUAUUUUAAUUCUAACUCAAUAAUAUUACCACUUUAUUAAAGGCAUAACUAUCAACGCAUUGUCUGUCGGAUUAACACACGCAAAAAUUGUAUGAAAUCAUUUUACUUUAACAAAACAAAAACUUCCAAGCCAAUUUUUGAGAUGCUGCCUAUUUUUUUAUCCCCUCGAUUACAUUCUGAAUAAAAAGUUCUAUAUAUACGUGGGUGACCGUGAUUCUCAAACUGUAUGUUUUAAUCUCCUUUUGUACUAAACCCUAAUUUAGCCUAUACUUAUGCAAAACUAACAAAAAAUUAUCAGCAGGCACCUUUUUCGUAAAAUUUUGUUCUACCUAAAAUUGUAUACAUUAUUAUGUCAGUGUAAACAGAUUAAAUAGAAUGGAAAUACAAUGAAAAUAGACAUAUUUAAUGCAGUAAAUUCAUACAAUCUAAAUGUAUAUUAAAUAUUCUUUAUUAU